rnacentral:rRNA from 1 species
UGCAGGGUUCCUACAUUCAAAGGCAUGGCUCUUGACGGGCUGCCUCCUAAGGGAUUAGUCUCGAGGGGCUAUCUCCUAUAGGAUUAUCCUCCCGGGUCGUAAUAAUAAGCACCGCCUAACUACGUGCCAACAGCCGCGGUAAUACGUACGGUGCAAGCGUUAAUCGGAAUUACUGGGCGUAAAUCUUGCCCAGGCGGUUUUGUAAAACAGUCUUGAAAUCCCCGUGCUCAACCUGGGAAUUGCGAUUGUGACUGCAAAGCUGGACUGCGGCACAGGGGGAUGGAAUUCCGCGUGUACAGUGAAAUGCGUAAUAUGCUGAGGAACACCGAUGGCGAACGCAAUCCCCUGGGCCUGCACUGACGCUCAUGCACUAAAGCGUGGGGACCAAACAGGAUUAGAUACCCUGGUAGUCCACGCCCUACACGAUGUCAACUGGUUGUUGCGUCUCUUCUGACUCAAUAACGAAACUAACUCUUAAUUUGACCGCCUUGGAGUACGGCCGUAAGGUUAAAACUCAAA